rnacentral:lncRNA from 1 species
CGGCGUGUCCUGCUAUCAACAGCAGCGGUGUAGGGUAAUGUUCAAGUCCAGUACGUUCAAGCAGAGGCAGAGGUGAUUCAGUUCUUCAAGAAGUUUCAAGAUGGUAUUGGAUUCACAGGUUUUGGCAAUACAGUUGGUGAUCUUCAGUUGCAGCAACAGUUAAAGGUGGAGCUUAUGGUUUCAUCUCGGUGGUGUUGUUGAGUGGUCAUCUAAGGUUCAAGUUAUGGAGAGUGCCAAAGGAGAAUCAGUGAAGAAGUUUAGUACAACUCAAGGUUGUAUAACUCUUGUUUGCAACCUAAGAAGACUUGAGAAUUUUAAUAGCUCAAGAUGGUGGUGUGGUUCAUGUCACAGCUAGAGUUCAGUGAGUACAUCAAGUCUGAUUCAUUGGUUUGGAGGCUGAAGUUACUGAAGCACAGAGGAUCGGUUCAGAGACUCUAAGAAGAAGCAUCGAGGAAAUCUUCAGGAUUGUAUCAAGACUGAUACUUAAGGGACGCUAGGAGAAAUUUCAAGAAAGCGUUAGCGUUGAGUGGUGAAGCUCAG